AAAAAAUUUUUUUACACAUUCAAGCGAUUAGUCAACAGAAGAGACAGACGGCUGCACGUGUGUGUUCUGCGUAAUACUUGUUUAUAGA